rnacentral:rRNA from 1 species
AGUGAACGCUGGCGGUAGGCCUAACACAUGCAAGUCGAACGGCAGCACAGUAUGAGCUUGCUCUUACGGGUGGCGAGUGGCGGACUGGUGAGGAAUGCACCCGAAUCUACUUUUUCGUGGGGGAUAACGUAGGGAAACUUACGCUAAUACCGCAUACGACCUACGGGUGAAAGCAGGGGAUCUUCGGACCUUGCGCGACUGAAUGAGCCGAUGUCGGAUUAGCUAGUUGGCGGGGUAAAGGCCCACCAAGGCGACGAUCCGUAGCUGGUCUGAGAGGAUGAUCAGCCACACUGGAACUGAGACACGGUCCAGACUCCUACGGGAGGCAGCAGUGGGGAAUAUUGGACAAUGGGCGCAAGCCUGAUCCAGCCAUACCGCGUGGGUGAAGAAGGCCUUCGGGUUGUAAAGCCCUUUUGUUGGGAAAGAAAAGCAGCAGGUUAAUACCCCGCUGUUCUGACGGUACCCAAAGAAUAAGCACCGGCUAACUUCGUG